CGGAACAUAAACAUGGGGAUAAUUAUAUAAAGUAUAUACGGGAUAAUAACAAGUCCUUGGGACAUUUGCGCUGGGUUCGUCGGGCACUGGUGCGGAGCACUAUCCUUAUAGAUUGGCGUCGGUUGCGGUGCAGGUGUGGGUUGGAGCGCUGAUUAUUGAGGAGGUGCUUCCGCGGGUUGCUCAGAGGUUCCGGUGUUUAUCAUUGAUGAUCAGCGCCUGUUUUUUGCAUUUGUAUAUUUGUGGGGUUUCUGCUAUAGGGAGGUCUUUGGUGGAGUGCACUGGUUUGAUUGUCCUUGAGUCUUCCCAAUUGAUGCUGGUGUCAUCUUCAUGCGCUCGUUUGGCCAGAGCUGUUGUUAUGACCAACAAAGAGGGACAGAAGAAUUUUACGUGGGAGCGACAGCAAGGAACCUGGAGGAUAGGCUCAAAGAGCAUAAAAGGGAUAUUACUACUGCUCAAUAAACAACAG
rnacentral:lncRNA from 1 species